UGGAAUUGUAAAUUAAAAUAAUAAAAUUUCACAUAAGCAACAUAAUUCCUAGAUAGAUAUGUUCACAUAAGCUAUAUGAUUUUCUUGUUUCCUGCAUAUUCUAUUUUGUCCAGGAUUUAAAAUUGGGCUCCUAGCUAGAAUCGACUUACUAGUGUUAUUUUAAAACCUGAAAGCUCUGUUGAUUCAAGACGGGGGACUGAUUGAUUUCUUGUCUUAACAAUGGUUGACAAUGAAGUUGUUUGAGUUAUGGCAUCACAAGUAAAAUAAUAUUGAAAUGUGUGGAAAGUAUGGUAAAUUCGUAGGGCA
rnacentral:misc_RNA from 1 species